AGUAAAGUCUCACGUGUAAGACAGUACCCCCUAUGUACAGGUUUUAUGGCGUUUUGGGAAGUUACAGGGUCAAAUAUACCACGUUACAUUUGAAAUUGAAAUUCGCCAGAUUGGUUACGUUGCCUUUGAGACUGUAUAGUAGCCCGGGAAUGAAAUUUACACCCAUAAUGGCAUACCAUUUGCAAUAGUAGACAACCCAAGGUAUUGCAAAUGGGG